AGGACGAACGCUGGCGGCGUGCCUAAUACAUGCAAGUCGAACGGUCUUUCUAUGGAAGCUUGCUUCCACUGAGAAGAUAGUGGCGAACGGGUGAGUAACGCGUGGGUAACCUGCCCAUAAGAGGGGGAGUAACAUCCGGAAACGGGUGCUAAUACCGCAUAGUUUUCUUGGUCGCAUGAUCGGGAAAGGAAAGACGGCCUUUGUGCUGUCGCUUAUGGAUGGACCCGCGGCGUAUUAGUUAGUUGGUGAGGUAACGGCUCACCAAGACGAUGAUACGUAGCCGACCUGAGAGGGUGAUCGGCCACAUUGGGACUGAGACACGGCCCAAACUCCUACGGGAGGCAGCAGUAGGGAAUCUUCCGCAAUGGACGAAAGUCUGACGGAGCAACGCCGCGUGAGUGAAGAAGGUUUUUCGGAUCGUAAAACUCUGUUGUCAGAGAAGAACAAGUUGGAGAGUAACUGCUCCAGCCUUGACGGUAUCUGACCAGAAAGCCACGGCUAACUACGUGCCAGCCGCAGC
rnacentral:rRNA from 1 species